AACGAACGCUGGCGGCAGGCUUAACACAUGCAAGUCGAGCGAGACCUUCGGGUCUAGCGGCGGACGGGUGAGUAACGCGUGGGAACGUGCCCUUCUCUACGGAAUAGCCCCGGGAAACUGGGAGUAAUACCGUAUACGCCCUUUGGGGGAAAGAUUUAUCGGAGAAGGAUCGGCCCGCGUUGGAUUAGGUAGUUGGUGGGGUAAUGGCCCACCAAGCCGACGAUCCAUAGCUGGUUUGAGAGGAUGAUCAGCCACACUGGGACUGAGACACGGCCCAGACUCCUACGGGAAGCAGCAGUGGGGAAUCUUAGACAAUGGGGGCAACCCUGAUCUAGCCAUGCCGCGUGAGUGAUGAAGGCCUUAGGGUUGUAAAGCUCUUUCAGCUGGGAAUAUAAUGACGGUACCAGCAGAAGAAGCCCCGGCUAACUACGUG
rnacentral:rRNA from 1 species